AUUGAACGCUGGCGGCAGGCCUAACACAUGCAAGUCGAACGCGUGGCGGACGGGUGAGUAAUGUCUGGGAAACUGCCUGCUGGAGGGGGAUAACUACUGGACACGGUAGCUAAUACCGCUUACCAUCGUCUGUGCCCAGAUGGGAUUAGUUAGUAGGUGGGGUAAAGGCUCACCUCGGCGCCGAUCCCUAGCUGGUCUGAGAGGCUGAAAGGCCACACUGGAACUGAGAAAGGGUCAGACUCCUACGUGAGGCAGCAGUGGGGAAGAUGGCACAAUGGGCGCAAGCCUGAUGCAGCCAUGCCGCGUGGAUGAAGAAGGCCUUCGGGUUGUAAAGUACUUUCAGCGGGGAGGCGUUACCCGCAGAAGAAGCACCGGCUAACUCCGUGCCAGCAGCCGCGGUAAUAC
rnacentral:rRNA from 1 species